GUGGUUUAAUUCGAUGAUACGCGAGGAACCUUACCUGGGUUUAAAUGCAGGACGCAAGUCACGUGAAAGCGAGACCCUCCUUCGGGACGGACUGCAAGGUGCUGCAUGGUUGUCGUCAGCUCGUGCCGUGAGGUGUCGGGUUAAGUCCCAUAACGAGCGCAACCCUCAUCCGUUAGUUACCAGCGGAUCAUGCCGGGGACUCUAACGAGACUGCCACCGUAAGGUGAGAGGAAGGUGGGAUGACGUCAAAUCAGCACGGCCCUUAUAUCCAGGGCUACACACGUGUUACAAUGGCCAGUACAAAGGGCAGCUACCUGGUGACAGGAUGCGAAUCUCGAAAGCCGGUCUCAGUUCGGAUCGGAGUCUGCAACUCGACUCCGUGAAGCUGGAUUCGCUAGUAAUCGCGCAUCAGCCAUGGCGCGGUGAAUACGUUCCCGGGCCUU
rnacentral:rRNA from 1 species